rnacentral:rRNA from 1 species
UACCAGCACCCCGAGUGGUCGGGACGAUUAUUGGGCCUAAAGCAUCCGUAGCCGGUCCUGCAAGUCUUCCGUUAAAUCCAGCUGCUCAACAGAUGGGCUGCGGGAGAUACUAUAGAGCUAGGAGGCGGGAGAGGCAAGCGGUACUCGAUGGGUAGGGGUAAAAUCCGUUGAUCCAUUGAAGACCACCAGUGGCGAAGGCGGCUUGCCAGAACGCGCUCGACGGUGAGGGAUGAAAGCUGGGGGAGCAAACCGG